UACGAAAUUGCUUUUCAUAUGUAAAUAUUUUGGUCGUAUUUAUUGUCAAUGGCUUCUCGUUUAUCUUAUAUUAUUUCCUGUCUUUGAAAUAAUAUAAGUGAUAUGACUGUUUAUCCAAUUUAGAGCUCUAUACCUAAUAUUAAUUUAAAUGAAAUUUAUUUGUAGCGUUGUUUUAAUUUUUAAAUAGGUUACCCUCAGUGAAUCAAGAUGGUAGAAAGUCUCCCAGGUCACGUCUUGGAUGAAACAUUACAAAAGCCGUUAGAAGCAUCGCCUAGACCCAAAGGUGGAACAAGGAAAGAACGAGCGGCAGGCAUGCUUCGCGACAUGUUGGGGCAUACGUAGAGAGUUGGCGAAUGUUCCGGAACAGAGCUCUACCUAAUAAAUAAGAUGCUCUUGCUACUAGGACGUUAGUAAUUAAUUAAAUAUUGGCGCGACUUUUAAAUUGAAAUAAAUAGUAGGUAAUAAAUACAGUCCAAAUAAAUGUUUCUAGUAGUCUUCAUUUUAUUCCGUACAUGUAAUAUAAUUAUGUUAUAAGUUUGUAAUAAACUAGUUGAGUCUUUUUGGGUA